rnacentral:lncRNA from 1 species
GAUUAUCUUAUUUCCAUUUUCAACAUUUAAAUAAAUAUCUCUGUCCUUUUACUUUUAUUUAUUUUUAUAUUACUCCAUUUACUUAAGUUUACAAUGUAAAUAAGGAAGUACCCUCCAUUUGGAUUCAAAUAAAAAAUACUAGAAAAUCAAAUUCCCACCAAAUCAAAAUACGAAAAUUCGGUUUUAGUGCAAAAUAUGAUUUAGGUUAAAAAUGAUGGCUCAUUAAGUCAAUAUAUACUUCAUACUAAAAUCCCAUAAAAUCAAGUUUUCUUAUUUGAUGUAUAAGGAAUAAAAGCCGCCAAAAAUUAUCAUGAGAAAAUGAUUAUUCCGAAAAACCAUUUUUCAUACUUAGUCAAUAUUGCAGAUCCGCUAAAAAAUUU